rnacentral:rRNA from 1 species
UACGUAGGUCGCAAGCGUUGUCCGGAUUUACUGGGCGUAAAGAGCGCGCAGGCGGCUGGUCAAGUCCGAUGUGAAAUCUCCCGGCUCAACUGGGAAACUGCAUCGGAAACUGAUCGGCUUGAAGGUGGGAGAGGGUAGUGGAAUUCCCGGUGUAGUGGUGAAAUGCGUAGAGAUGUGGAGGAACACCGAUGGCGAAGGCAGCCUCCUGGGCCAGCACUGACGCUCAUGCACGAAAGCGUGGGGAGCAAACAGG